AGAGUUUGAUCCUGGCUCAGAAUCAACGCUGGCGGCGUGCCUAACACAUGCAAGUCGAACGCGAAAGGGGAGCAAUCCCUGAUUAGAGUGGCAAACGGGUGAGUAACACGUGGGUGACCUGCCUUCGAGUGGGGGAUAACCUUCCGAAAGGAGGGCUAAUACCGCAUGACAUACCGUGUUUGGAUACACGGAUAUCAAAGCCGGGGAUCGCAAGACCUGGCGCUUGAAGAGGGGCCCGCGUCCGAUUAGCUAGUUGGUGAGGUAACGGCUCACCAAGGCUCCGAUCGGUAUCCGGCCUGAGAGGGCGGACGGACACACUGGAACUGAGACACGGUCCAGACUCCUACGGGAGGCAGCAGUGGGGAAUUGUUCGCAAUGGGCGAAAGCCUGACGACGCAACGCCGCGUGGAGGAUGAAGAAUUUCGGUUCGUAAACUCCUUUCGACCAAGAUGAAUACCCAUCGACCCAACACGUCGGUGGACUGACAGUAUUGAGAGAAGAAGCCCCGGCUAACUCUGUGCCAGCAGCCGCGGUAAUACAGGGGGGGCAAGCGUUGUUCGGAAUUACUGGGCGUAAAGGGUUCGUAGGUGGCCAAUUAAGUCAGACGUGAAAUCCCUCAGCUUAACUGGGGAACUGCGUCUGAUACUGGUUGGCUUGAGUGCAGGAGAGGAAUGCGGAAUUCCAGGUGUAGCGGUGAAAUGCGUAGAUAUCUGGAGGAACACCGGUGGCGAAGGCGGCAUUCUGGACUGUAACUGACACUGAGGAACGAAAGCCAGGGGAGCAAACGGGAUUAGAUACCCCGGUAGUCCUGGCCCUAAACGAUGAAUGCUUGGUGUAGCGGGUAUCGAUCCCUGCUGUGCCGAAGUU
rnacentral:rRNA from 1 species